rnacentral:rRNA from 1 species
GACAGAGGUGCCAAGCGUUAGGCGGAAUCACUGGGCUUAAAGCGUGUGUAGGCGGAUGCCUAAGUACCUUGUGAAAUCCCACGGCUCAACCGUGGAACUGCUUGGUAUACUGGGUGUCUUGAGCCAUCUAGGGGCUACCGGAACAAAUGGUGGAGCGGUGAAAUGCGUAGAUAUCAGGAAGAACACCCGUGGCGAAGGCGGCUCUCUGGGACGGUACUGACGCUGAGACGCGAAAGCGUGGGGAGCGAACAGG